GAGCAUAGCUGAGGAGGCCUUUGUGAUUGAGCUCAUAUUGGCAUCAGUGAGGCAGGCUGCAGAGGGCCCUCCUUUGUCAGGGAGAGGAGCAGGUAAAAAGGUGGUAAAUUCUAAAGAGAAAAAGUUACAAAUUGAUGACUGCACAAAACUCACUGAACAGUUAAUUAAAGUGCUGCCUGAGCUGUUAUCCAAGUACUCAGAGGAUGCUGAAAAACUCACCUCCCUUCUAAAAAUACCUCAGUAUUUCCAAAC